rnacentral:rRNA from 1 species
UACGUAGGGACCAAGCGUUGUUCGGAUUUACUGGGCGUAAAGGGCGCGUAGGCGGCGCAACAAGUCACUUGUGAAAUCUCCGGGCUUAACCCGGAGCGGCCAAGUGAUACUGUCGUGCUAGAGUGCGGAAGGGGCUACUGGAAUGCUCGGUGUAGCGGUGAAAUGCGUAGAUAUCGAGAGGAACACCUGCGGCGAAGGCGGGUAGCUGGGCCGACACUGACGCUGAGGCGCGAAAGCCAGGGGAGCGAACGGG